UGAAACUCACUAGACCAGGUUGGCCU
rnacentral:piRNA from 1 species